GACGAACGCUGGCGGCGUGCUUAACACAUGCAAGUCGAGCGGUAAGGCCCUUUCGGGGGUACACGAGCGGCGAACGGGUGAGUAACACGUGGGCGACCUACCCUCAGCUUCGGGAUAAGCCUGGGAAACUGGGUCUAAUACCGGAUAUGACCUUCCCUCGCAUGGGGGGUUGGUGGAAAGUUUUUUCGGUCUGGGGAGUGGGCCCGGCCGGCCUAUCAGCUUGUUGGUGGGGUGAUGGCCUACCAAGGCGACGACGGGUAGCCGGCCUGAGAGGGCGACCGGCCACACUGGGACUGAGAUACGGCCCAGACUCCUACGGGAGGCAGCAGUGGGGAAUAUUGCGCAAUGGGCGGAAGCCUGACGCAGCGGCGCCGCGUGGGGGAUGACGGCC
rnacentral:rRNA from 1 species